AGCGCGAUGAGGGAAUCCCAAGUGCUUGCUCGUAAGAGUAAGCUGUUUUUAUGUCUAAAAAGCAUAGAGAGUAAGGGCUGGGUAAGACGGGUGCCAGCCGCCGCGGUAAUACCUGCAGCUCAAGUGGUGAUCAUUAUUAUUGGGCCUAAAACGUCCGUAGCCGGUUUGGUAAAUGCCUGGGUAAAUCGUGUAGCUUAACUAUACGAAUUCCGGGUAGACUGCCAAACUUGGGACCGGGAGAGGCUAGAGGUACUCCUGGGGUAGAGGUGAAAUUCUGUAAUCCUAGGGGGACCACCAGUGGCGAAGGCGUCUAGCUAGAACGGGUCUGACGGUCAGGGACGAAGCCCUGGGGCGCGAACCGGAUUAGAUACCCGGGUAGUCCGGGGUGUAAACGCUGCUUGCUUGAUGUUAGUUGGGCUCCGAGCCCAAUUAGUGUCGGAGAGAAGUUGUUAAGCAAGCUGCCUGGGAAGUACGGUCGCAAGA
rnacentral:rRNA from 1 species